rnacentral:rRNA from 1 species
AGGCGCAGCUGAUCCAGCCAUUCCGCGUGCAGACGAAGGCUUCGGGUUGUAAACUGCUUUUGUACGGAACGAAAAAGCCUCGGUUAAUACCCGGGGUCCAUGACGGUACCGUAAGAAUAAGCACCGGCUAACUACGUGCCAGCAGCCGCGGUAAUACGUAGGGUGCGAGCGUUAAUCGGAAUUACUGGGCGUAAAGCGUGCGCAGGCGGUUAUAUAAGAACAGAUGUGACAAUCCCCGAGGGCUCUAACGCUGGGGAAAACUGGCAAUUUGGUAGAACUGCUACUAGUCCUAGGAGAUGGCGGGCGAGCAAGGGGACGGACUUGGUAAAUAUCCCAGGCGGAUGCUUAGCCAAAGCUGAAAAAAUUCGCCUG